rnacentral:rRNA from 1 species
GAUGAACGCUGGCGGCGUGCCUAAUACAUGCAAGUCGAGCGAACAGAUGAGGAGCUUGCUCCUCUGACGUUAGCGGCGGACGGGUGAGUAACACGUGGAUAACCUACCUAUAAGACUGGGAUAACUUCGUGAAACCGGAGCUAAUACCGCAUAAUAUAUUCAACCGCAUGGUUCAAUAGUGAAUGACGGUUUUGCUGUCACUUAUAGAUGGAUCCGCGCCGCCUUAGCUAGUUGGUAAGGUAACGGCUUAACAAGGCAACGAUGCGUAGACGACAUGAGAGGGUGAUCGGCCACACUGGAAGUGAGACACGGUCCAGACACCUACGGGAGGCAGCAGUAGGGAAUCUUCCGCAAUGGGCGAAAGCCUGACGGAGCAACGCCGCGUGAGUGAUGAAGGUCUGCGGAUCGUAAAACUCUGUUAUUAGGGAAGAACAAAUGUGUAAGUAACUAUGCACGUCUUGACGGUACCUAAUCAGAAAGCCACGGCUAACUACGUG